GCUAACAGCGAGAUGUAGGC
rnacentral:miRNA from 1 species